GCCCGCAUGGCACAAUGGUACUGCAUCCGCCUCGAAAGCGGAGCCUUUACAGGCAUCCAGGUUCGAUUCCUGGUGCGGGCG
rnacentral:tRNA from 1 species